GUUUAAUACUUUCCUGGAAGCUAAACUAAUCUUUUGCUGAUUGUGUAAUUUGUUAAGUAUCUUCUUCCACAGUCUGAUUUUCUAAAAAAAAUUGUUUGUUUAAUCUCUAAAUCCUUCUUUUAUUGAAUGCCUCCAAGUGCAACUCUAAUGUCAGGCUGAAGGGAGCAUUCCAAGAAGUAUUUUAUGAGUCUAACAAUCAUAAUCAAAAGUGGAAUGAAAACUGGGUGCAGUGGCCCAUCUGGUAAUCCCAACUAUUUGAGAGGCUGAGGAAGGAGGAUUUCUUGAACCCAGGAGUUCAAGGCCAACCUGGGUGGCAUAAUAAGACCCCCGUCUCAACAACAACAACAACAACAAAAGGAAAUUUUCAUUUACAACUUAAUCCUGUUUUAGUUAUCACUAGUUAAAACAUGUAUACUUCCCGAUAAUCGGUGAAGAUUUGAUUUUUACUCUUAACAUGUAAGAUGUAUUACACUACUUGACAUAAUCUGUUUCUCAAUUCUUGCUUCUUAUUUUGGUAUUUUAUGGCUGUGUAUUUUGAAUUAUAUUUGAAAGAACAAGAAGGUGAUUAUUGUGUAUACAGUGUUCGGGAACAUUUAAUAAAAC
rnacentral:lncRNA from 1 species